AGUCAUCUGAAGACUGCAGAGGC
rnacentral:piRNA from 1 species